rnacentral:rRNA from 1 species
UACGUAGGUGGCAAGCGUUGUCCGGAAUUAUUGGGCGUAAAGCGCGCGCAGGCGGUCCCUUAAGUCUGAUGUGAAAGCCCACGGCUCAACCGUGGAGGGUCAUUGGAAACUGGGGGACUUGAGUACAGAAGAGGAAAGCGGAAUUCCACGUGUAGCGGUGAAAUGCGUAGAUAUCCGGAGGAACACCAGUGGCGAAGGCGCCUUCCUGGCCUAAGACUGACGCUGAGGUGCGAAAGCGUGGGGAGCAAACAGG